rnacentral:rRNA from 1 species
AUUGAACGCUGGCGGCAGGCCUAACACAUGCAAGUCGAGCGGAGCGGCGGACGGGCGAGUAAUGCCUAGGAAUCUGCCUGGCAUUGGGGGAUAACGUCCGUAAACGGGCGCUAAUACCGCAUACUAUCAGAUGAGCCUAGGUCGGUUGAGCUAGUUGUUAGGGUAAAGGCCUACCAAGGCGACGCUCCGUAACUGGUCUGAGAGGAUGAUCAGUCACACUGGAACUGAGACACGGUCCAGACUCCUACGGGAGGCAGAAGUGGGGAAUAUUGGACAAUGGGCGAAAGCCUGAUCCAGCCAUGCCGCGUGUGUGAAGAAGGUCUUCGGAUUGUAAAGCACUUUAAGUUGGGAGGCGUUACCAACAGAAUAAGCACCGGCUAACUUCGUGCCAGCAGCCGCGGUAAUAC